AAAAAAUUAGUUAAAAAAUAACAUUAGUUUGUCAAACUAAAAUUAUUAAAUUAUUAAUAUUUUUUA
rnacentral:tRNA from 1 species